AUGGGGCUGAAGCCGGGAGGGCGAGCCCGAGGGAGGGGAAGUCGCCGGAGUCCGAACGCCGCGCGGCGCCUCCUUACCUUGCAUGUUUUCCGGCAUCUGCCCCUGUUCCCCAUGCGAUCGAGCCAGUCCUAGGGCUUCCGUCUCCACUUUAGGCAGCAUGACAAGGCGGCCGCGGGCGGGGGUAGGGGAUCCGUGUCCUUCCGGAAGCCCAGCACCUGGACACGGGCAGCACAGAUUCAACUCCUGCAGAAAGAAGGGGCGACCGGGGCGCCCGCUCACCCACCCGCUAGCGGCGCGUGCCUCAGCCUCCUGCGGGGCUGCCCGUCAGGGCACCUGAGCCCGGUCCCGUCUCGCAGCUCCGGAGCUGCUAGGAGGAGGUCGGGACUAUAAGGCCAGGCGAAGAAGACGGCGUCUGGGCGCCCUGGCUCAGCUCGGCAAGUGCGGAGGCGGCGGCGGUGGCGAGGGCACAGCUGCCCGGGGCGCGGAUCCGUGCACCGCCGAGCUCCCGGUGGCCAGCAGAAGCGGCAACCCGGCUGCUGCUGCCGCCGCGGCGGUGCGGCUGCCUCUGCUCCCAGACGGCUGAGUUGACUUCUUCCCCUCCCUCCACCCGCCCUCUGGCUUAGGAUCGGCAGGGGUCUCUCUCUCGCUUUCUCUCGCCUCACUUCUCCUCUCCGCCCCUUCCCCUGUCUCUUUCUGCCUGCUCGCUAUCACAAGUGUGGAGUUGUGAAGUUCCAACCUCCCUCUCCUCCCUGGUUUACUCCUUUCGCGGGUCCGAGAGCAACCCUUUUCAGCCCCGAGGUUGACGGUGCUGGGAAGGAAAGGGGGGAGACGAGAAAGAGAAGGGAGGGAGAAGCGACCUCUGUCUGAGCGCGGCGGCGAAGGAGGAGAAGCAAGGGCGGUGAUUUCCGCGAGCUGAGGGGAAGCGAGGAGAAGGGAUGGGGUGUGUGACACGGAAAGGCCCCGCGGUGUACCCUAGGCGCCCUGGAGGGUCCGAGCGGCCAGGCCCACCGAGGCCACGACGCUGAGGCCCUGAGUCAAUUUACUGAAGUUCUGGAAAACAGAAGAGGUUUCUCUUUGGAUCUACAUAAGGCACCAAGGCCCAACAUUAAAAACAAACAAAAAGUUUUAAAGAACCAUCUGUUACGAAAGUCCUUCCUCCAGCCUGAUCACAUCUUUAAAGUUCUCAGACCUCAUCCCAACAAGAUGAAAACAUUCUUUACAACCUCCUGGCUGCAUGCGAAAUACCUCCUAUUCAGUGUCUGCUGUGUAACCAGUUAACUGUCACAGUACACCCACCAGGGGGUGGAUUUGAAUCUC